rnacentral:rRNA from 1 species
UUGAACUUAAGCAUAUCAAUAAGCGGAGGAAAAGAAACCAACAGGGAUUGCCUCAGUAACGGCGAGUGAAGCGGCAAAAGCUCAGAUUUGAAAUCUGGCGUCAUACUGGCGUCCGAGUUGUAAUCUGUAGAGGAGUGCUCGAGUGUGGAUCUGGCUUAAGUUCCUUGGAACAGGACGUCAUAGAGGGUGAGAAUCCCGUUAACGGCCUAUGUCUUAUACUCAUGUGAGUCUCCUUCAACGAGUCGAGUUGUUUGGGAAUGCAGCUCUAAAUUGGUGGUAAAUUCCAUCUAAAGCUAAAUACUGGCGAGAGACCGAUAGCGCACAAGUAGAGUGAUCGAAAGAUGAAAAGAACUCUGAACAGAGAGUUAAAUAGUACGUGAAAUUGUUGAAAGGGAAGCACUUGCUACCAGACACGCUUGUAGUUGAUCAGCCUCCAUUUUUGGUGGUGCACUCGGCUGCAAGUGGGUCAGCAUCAGUUACAAUGGUGGGAAAAAGACUGGGGGAAUGUAGCUUCUUUCGGGGAGUGUUAUAGCCCUCGGUGCAAUGCCACCUAAUGUGACUGAGGCCCGCGCUUUGGCGAGGAUGCUGGCAUAAUGGUCGUAAGUGACCCGUCUUGAAACACGGACCAAGGAGUCUAACAUCUAUGCGAGUGUUUGGGCGUAGAAACCCUUACGCGAAAUGAAAGUGAAUGAAGGUGGGAACCGCAAGGUGCACCAUCGACCGAUCCUGAUGUUCUCGGAUGGAUUUGAGUAGGAGCAUAGCUGUUGGGACCCGAAAGAUGGUGAACUAUGCCUGAAUAGGGUGAAGCCAGAGGAAACUCUGGUGGAGGCUCGCAGCGGUUCUGACGUGCAAAUCGAUCGUCAAAUUUGGGUAUAGGGGCGAAAGACUAAUCGAACCAUCUAG